rnacentral:lncRNA from 1 species
UAAAAUACAGCUAAGUAAAACAAUAAUCCUCCCAAAAUCGAGGAGUCACGAGUACAGAGCCACUAACAGAACAGGAUACAACUCUGAACAAAAAUGAUACUAAAGUCCAACAAAAUAGCAAAAAGAACAUGAUUGAUGGAGACUGAGUAAGUGGUCAUGUGGACGCUGGGAAACUACCUCAAUACUCUGAAUAGCUCAGGAAAUCAACAGCAGCAGCACUAGGUCUCUAGAACACCUGGAUCUGCACACAAAGUGCAGGGAAUAUGGGGUGAGCCGCAUGUAUAAAAACCCGAAGACAAGAAAUCACGAAAUAACACAAAAUGAAGUUAUCAAGAAGUUCUAUGCAGUACACGCCUCAGAGAUUUACAAAUAAAGAAAUAGUAAAUAAAUUCAUGAGAUGCAUUGUAAUGUAUGAACACUGCGGAACGUGCAGCCCGAUCCAUAUGGG